GACGAACCGUGCGAACGUUAUUCGGAAUUACUGGGCUUAAAGGGUGCGUAGGCGGCGCGGAAAGUAGGGUGUGAAAUCCCUCGGCUCAACCGAGGAACUGCGCUCUAAACUACCGUGCUCGAGGGAGAUAGAGGUAAGCGGAACUUAGGGUGGAGCGGUGAAAUGCGUUGAUAUCCUAAGGAACACCGGUGGCGAAAGCGACUACCUGGCCUGUUCUUGACGCUGAGGCGCGAAAGCUAGGGGAGCAAACGGG
rnacentral:rRNA from 1 species